GAUCCGGGGAUGUCCGAAUGGGGAAACCUAGCACCAGUCAUGUGGUGUUGCCUCCGUCUGAAUGUAUAGGGCGGUUGGUGGUAACGCGGGGAAGUGAAACAUCUCAGUACCCGUAGGAGAAGAAAACAAAUAGUGAUUCCGUGAGUAGUGGUGAGCGAAAGCGGAGGAGGCUAAACCGUGCGCGUGUGAUAGCCGGCGGGCGUUGCGUGUGCGGGGUUGUGGGACCUUCCGGGGGAGACCGCUGUCUCCUCGAACAGUGAGAAAUCGGUGGGGUAGUCGAACGCUCUGGGAAGGGCGGCCGUAGACCGUGAUAGCCGGGUAGGCGAAAUUCUGCCGACUGUUGGGAGUGUUCCCGAGUAGCACGGGGCUCGAGGAAUCCUGUGUGAAUCUGCCAGGACCACCUGGUAAGCCUAAAUACUUCCUGGUGACCGAUAGUGAACGAGUACCGUGAGGGAAAGGUGAAAAGCGCCCCGGUGAGGGGUCGUGAAAUAGUACCUGAAACCGUGUGCCUACAAGCCGUAGGAGCGUAAACAAGCUUGCUUGUUUGUGAUGUGACUGCGUGCCUUUUGAAGAAUGAGCCUGCGAGUUAUGGUGUGUGGCGAGGUUAACCCGUGUGGGGGAGCCGUAGCGAAAGCGAGUCUGAAUAGGGCGUAUAGAGUCGCAUGCUGUAGACCCGAAGCGGGGUGAUCUACGCAUGGGCAGGUUGAAGCGUGGGUAAGACUGCGUGGAGGACCGAACCCACCAGGGUUGAAAACCUGGGGGAUGACCUGUGUGUAGGGGUGAAAGGCCAAUCAAACUCCGUGAUAGCUGGUUCUCCCCGAAAUGCAUUUAGGUGCAGCGUUGCGUGUUGCUUGCCGGAGGUAGGGCUCUGGAUGGCUGAUGGGCCCGACAAGGUUACUGACGUCAGCCAAACUUCGAAUGCCGGUAAGUUGAGCGUGGCAGUGAGACUGCGGGGGAUAAGCUCCGUGGUCGAGAGGGAAACAGCCCAGAUCACCGACUAAGGCCCCUAAGCGUGUGCU
rnacentral:rRNA from 1 species